rnacentral:misc_RNA from 1 species
AAGACUAUAGACCUGCGGAGUACCUGCGGAGGGAUCAUUACCGAGUUUACAACUCCCAAACCCCAAUGUGAACAUUACCUUUACUGUUGCUUCGGCGGGAUCGCCCCGGGCGCGGCCGAGAGGCCCAGCCCCGGAUCCAACGUGCGCCCGCCGGAGGACCCCAGACUCCAUGUUUCUUGCAAGGUAUUUCUGAGCUGCUCCUAGCGAGCAAAACAAAAAAUGAAUCAAAACUUUCAGCAA